GCCGAGGUGGCGGAACGGCAGACGCGCGAGUUCGAGGGGCUCGUGCCCGCAAGGGCGUCGGGGUUCAAGUCCCCGCCUCGGCA
rnacentral:tRNA from 2 species